GAUGAACGCUGGCGGCGUGCCUAAUACAUGCAAGUCGAGCGAACAGACGAGGAGCUUGCUCCUCUGACGUUAGCGGCGGACGGGUGAGUAACACGUGGAUAACCUACCUAUAUGACUGGGAUAACUUCGGGAAACCGGAGCUAAUACCGGAUAAUAUAUUGAACCGCAUGGUUCAAUAGUGAAAGACGGUUUUGCUGUCACUUAUAGAUGGAUCCGCGCCGCAUUAGCUAGUUGGUAAGGUAACGGCUUACCAAGGCAACGAUGCGUAGCCGACCUGAGAGGGUGAUCGGCCACACUGGAACUGAGACACGGUCCAGACUCCUACGGGAGGCAGCAGUAGGGAAUCUUCCGCAAUGGGCGAAAGCCUGACGGAGCAACGCCGCGUGAGUGAUGAAGGUCUUCGGAUCGUAAAACUCUGUUAUUAGGGAAGAACAAAUGUGUAAGUAACUAUGCACGUCUUGACGGUACCUAAUCAGAAAGCCACGGCUAACUACGUG
rnacentral:rRNA from 1 species